CAUAACUUGAGUAGUAUUGCAUCUCCCCGCGCUAGUGCCGCCCCGGCCGCCUGGGUACCACGGGUGGAGGGGCACUGAGGCCCCACACCUGCCUGCAGCGCUCCGCUUCAGCUCCAUUUAACCUGUGGCAGGAGCUGUGAAAAAAGUGCAAAUAUGGAGGAGGAAAGAACAGAAUUCUGAACUGCAUUAAUCAUUUAAGCAUAUAUCCUCAAUAAAAUGUAUUCCAUAAAU